AUUGAACGCUGGCGGCAGGCCUAACACAUGCAAGUCGAACGAGUGGCGGACGGGUGAGUAAUGUCUGGGAAACUGCCUGAUGGAGGGGGAUAACUACUGGAAACGGUAGCUAAUACCGCAUACCAUCAGAUGUGCCCAGCCGGGGUUCGUGAGUUGGUGGGGUAACGGCUCACCAGGGCGACGAUCGCUAGCUGGUCUGAGAGGCUGCCCAGCGACACUGGAACUGGGACACGGUCCAGACUCCUCCGGGAGGCAGCAGUGGGGAAUAUUGCACAAUGGGCGCAAUCCUGAUGCAGCCGUGCCGCGUGUAUGAAGAAGGCCUUCGGGUUGUAAAGUACUUUCAGCGGUGAGGCGUUACCCGCAGAAGAAGCACCGGCUAACUCCGUGCCAGCAGCCGCGGUAAUUC
rnacentral:rRNA from 1 species